rnacentral:lncRNA from 1 species
CAGUUGACCUUAAUAAAAUGUUUCUCAUGUUGAAUGUAAAUGUUUUAUGACUAUUUCGAUGAAAACGAAUUGAAGACUUAUAUUUAUACAAGCAACAAAUUUAGGAGUGUGUAUUAAUAAUUUAACAUAUAGUUUUCGUAUUCAACUUUGUAUUUGCCACAAGGACAAGGUAACUCCAAGAAGAAAGGUCGUGGAAGGUUUCAUGUGGUUUUGUUACUUUAGAUGUUAAAUUAUUGAAUUGAAUUUGCAUCAGUGGUUGUUGAUUAGUUGCCACAAAGUUGGAAUUGAAUAUGUUCAGUCAGCGUUGCCACUAAGGCUUUUGUGGACUUUUCACCUCCUUUGAUUAUUAUU